AAACCAGCACCUCAAGUGGUCAGGAGGAUUAUUGGGCCUAAAGCAUCCGUAGCCUGUUCUAUAAGUUUCCGGUUAAAUCCAUUAGCUCAACUAAUGGGCCGCCGAAAAUACUGGAGAACUAGGGAGUGGGAGAGGUAGACGGUAUUCAGUAGGAAGGGGUAAAAUCCUUUGAUCUAUUGAGGACCACCUGUGGCGAAGGCGGUCUACCAGAACACGUUCGACGGUGAGGGAUGAAAGCUGGGGGAGCAAACCGGAUUAGAUACCCCAGUAGUCC
rnacentral:rRNA from 1 species